AUGUCUGUCUCUACACCUGUUAAUAUAGAUGUUAUGGAGAAAGAGUUAUGUAGACAUCCGGACUCAACUUUUAAAAAUUAUUUGAUAAACGGGUUAAGAUAUGGUUUUAACACUGGGUUAAAGACUCUCCCAUCAAAGUCUAUUAUAUGUAAAAAUUUGAAGUCAGCAUCUACAAAUCCUAUUUGCGUGUCAGAAUUACUUGAAACUGAAGUGUCAAAAGGAUACCUCAUUGGACCUUUUAACGAUAUUCCUUUUAGCAACUAUCGCAUAAAUCCAAUUGGUUUAGCCGAACAUAAAUAUAGUAAGAAAAGGCGUUUAAUUGUUGAUCUUUCAGCACCACAUGAGGAUGAGGACAAUCCAAGUCUAAAUGAACUUAUUGAUAAGGAAGAAUUUUCUUUACAGUAUGUUUCUAUUGAUGAUGCUACUCAUAUUAUAAAGCAGUUAGGUAGUAAAAGUUGGCUUCUAAAAACAGAUGUUUGCGAUGCGUUCAAAAUUAUUCCCCUUAAAUCAGAAUUAUGGCCAUAUCAUGGUAUACAGUGGAACAAAAAGUUUUAUUUUUUUAAGAGAUUAGUGUUUGGGUGUAGAUCAAGUCCCAAAAUUUUUGAUACACUAUCCAGGGCUGUUUGCUGGAUAGCUAGAAAUAACUAUGGUAUUGUAAAUAUUUUACAUUUGUUAGAUGAUUUUUUAAUUAUUGUACCUAGAGCAGAUAAUGCUCAGCUAAUUAUGAACAAUGUGUUAAAAAUGUUUUCAUCUUUGGGUAUACCUUUGUCAAAAAAGAAAACUGAAGGUCCUUGUGUCAUUUUAGAAUAUUUGGGUAUUUUUCUUGAUACUAUAAAGAUGGAGGCACGUUUGCCUAAAGAGAAAAUUGCAAGAAUUCAAGAAGUUAUUGAAUCUUUUUCUAAACGCAAUACAUGUACCAAAAGAGAACUUUUAAGUCUGCUAGGACACUUAAAUUUUGCAAGUAGAGUUAUUUUACCAGGCAGAUCAUUUGUGUCUCACUUGAUUAAGCUUUCAACAACUGUUAAAAAAUUGUCACACCAUGUACAUAUUAAGAAUUGCAGAUCUGAUUUGGCAAUGUGGUCUCAAUUUCUUAAAAACUGGAAUGGAAUAUCUUUUUUUAUUAAUGAUGACAUUAUUAAAGCUGCAGACAUUCAACUUUACACAGAUGCUACACCUAAAUCAUUCGGGGGAUUCUAUCAGGGAAGUUGGUUUCAAGGCGAAUUUACAUCAGAACUUUUACACGAACAAACGUCUAUGGCCUUUUUUGAACUGUACCCUAUAGACUAUAGUGAUGGCCUGUGCUCUAUGGGGUCACAAUUGGAGUAGAAAACGAAUAUUUAAAUUUGACUUGGAGGAAACUACUCAGCUAAAAAAUUAAUUUUUGCUCCAUGGCCAACCACUAGAGCCUGUAGCUACUUUGUUGAACAUAAGCCUCUCCCUUAAUCAAGGAUCGAUUUAUUUUUCUGCUGAGAAAUUUACUUUUUAGACUUGGGUAUAAAGAUGAUAAAUUUUGUGGGCAUUCAUUUAGAAUAGGAGCAGCUACAUCUGCAGCUGCUGCAGGAAUAGAAGACCACAUUAUUCAAACUCUAGGUAGAUGGUCAUCUGAUUGUUACAUACGUUAUAUUAGAACCAACCCUAAAACUAUACAUGCAGCUCAAGAUAAAAUGUGUUUUUAAGCGAACAUUUCUCUUAGUAGAUUUUAUUUUCAUUUUAUUGGCACAUAUUGUGAAGUUAAAUACAUGUAUAUGUUUCAGAAUUUUAUAUAUUUGUAUUAGUUUUUUACUUGUUUUAUUGUAUAGGUACAAUGUACAUACAUUUAUAAUUAAGUUACUAUUUUUUUUACAUAUCUGAUGUAUCUUUUCUUGGGGGCUUUCACUCUUUAAUUUCGCUCAUUUUGGCCAACAUAAUUUCAGGGAAAUUAUUUUCCCCCAAUUCAUUUAUACAUUUUUAAAAUUAUUAAGUACAUUUGUACACCUGCUGGCAUCUACCGCAGGAUCUAUUUUUAUUCGCAUUAGGUAAUCUGCUGGCAUCUACCGCAGAAUCUAUUUUUAUUCGCAUUCACCUGCUCGGAUCUACCACAGGUUCUCGAAAUUACUUUUGUCUGCUCGGAUCUACCACAGGCAUAAGUAAUAUAUAUUUUUUGUAUGUGUUGUCUGCUCGGAUCUACCACAGGCAUAAGUUGUAUAUAUUUUGUGUAUGUGAUUCUUCAGAAACUGUAAUGAGUAGCCCCCUAGAAAGCCAAAUGUUACAUCAAGGUAUUAAUAUGUAAAUGUUUUACUAUUUAGUAUGUUUUUUAUGUUAUAUGAAAAUGUUUUAGCUCUUAGUGAGUUUUAGAUUUAGUUUUAAUAAAUAGUUUAGUUUUAUACCUUAUCUUAGUUAUAUACAGUUAGUAAUUGUAGUUUUGGUAUAUGUUGGUUUGCCAAGAUUAUUCAGGACCACAAGCGACGGUACACACACUAUCAUACAUACUGGUGCCCUUAGUCGUUGGCAGAAUGAAUCUUAUUGAUGUUAUUUUGGUUGUUUUAUGCAAGGAUCAAGCUAUUAGAUAUGGAAGAUUUGGUAUGAGAGCCAAUGAGACAAAUCUUCAUAGUAUCAAACAUACAAACUCUAACAGAAUUUUGUUUUAAGUGGGAUAUUUUUCUUGUCUGGAGAAUGAUGUAUAAAUGGGAAUUUAAUGCAUUAAAUUGGAGUUUAUACAUUUUACGUUUUUGUCCUCAUCAUCUGUUACCCUUCUCAUCAUGUGUUCAAUUUUAGCAGAAACUUUAAUAAGUUAUUUUUGUCUACAGAGAUAAGAUAAGGAUUUGACAAUCUCAUUACAGAUAGGGAAGGGAUAGGUGGUCAUUUUAUAAAGCUUGUUGCAGUUACAGCAGCCAUUUUUGUAUCUCCGAGAUUUAAAUUGACCCUCCCGCCAUCCCCUUUCAGCACAUGUUUUAAUUGGGGCUACUUGUUCAACAAACAAUAUAACGAAGAAACACUAUUCACUAAGAACACCAGGCCAACAUAAUUUCAGGGAAAUUAUUUUCCCCCAAUUCAUUUAUACAUUUUUAAAAUUAUUAAGUACAUUUGUACACCUGCUGGCAUCUACCGCAGGAUCUAUUUUUAUUCGCAUUAGGUAAUCUGCUGGCAUCUACCGCAGAAUCUAUUUUAUUCGCAUUCACCUGCUCGGAUCUACCACAGGCAUAAGUAAUAUAUAUAUUUUUGUAUGUGUUGUCUGCUCGGAUCUACCACAGGCAUAAGUUGUAUAUAUUUUGUGUAUGUUAUUCUUCAGAAACUGUAAUGAGUAGCCCCCUAGAAAGCCAAAUGUUACAUCAAGGUAUUAAUAUGUAAAUGUUUUACUAUUUAGUAUGUUUUUUUAUGUUAUAUGAAAAUGUUUUAGCUCUUAGCGAGUUUUAGAUUUUGUUUUAAUAAAUAGUUUAGUUUUAUAUCUUAUCUUAGUUAUAUACAGUUAGUAAUUGUAGUUUUGGUAUAUGUUGGUUUGCCAAGAUUAUUCAGGACCACAAGCGACGGUACACACACUAUCAUACAUACUGGUGCCCUUAGUCGUUGGCAGAAUGAAUCUUAUUGAUGUUAUAUUUUGGUUGUUUUAUGCAAGGAUCAAGCUAUUAGAUAUGGAAGAUUUGGUAUGAGAGCCAAUGAGACAAAUCUUCAUAGUAUCAAACAUACAAACUCUAACAGAAUUCUGUUUUAAGUGGGAUAUUUUUCUUGUCUGGAGAAUGAUGUAUAAAUAUGGAAAUAUAACUUGCAAAUGCCAAUACAUUAUCAUACCAAACAUCAUUGACUUACAUUAGUGGUUCAUCUCAACUUGAUCUAAUCACAAACUAAUAUUAAUGAUUGUUGAUUACGUUAGUUUUUUGCCAUUUGUUAAAUCAAAAUACAGACGGUGUAGAUAAUGUUUUCCGGUAGUCUUUGUAACAUAAUAAGGAAAACAAAAUAUGGAUCCAUUAUUUUAUUUUAUCUUAAUAUAUCAGUAUCAAAGAAUCAUAUUUUAUUUUCCUCCAAUCAAAUAUAUGCAUAAAUUGAUCAUAUUGUUAGAAAGAUGAUUAAUCAUUGAAUUAUCCCUGUAGAUCAAGAUACAAAUUUAAGUAUUACAAGAAUUCGGGAGAUAGAAAAGAAAGCCUUUGAGGCAUACAGCUUAGACGAGGCACUCAGAAUAUACACAGAAGAAUUAACAGAUUUUUCAGAAAAAGAAGACUUGAAAAGUAAAGCAAUACUGUAUACAAACAGGGCAACCAUAUACAAUACACUAAAACAGCAUGAACUGGCAUUACAAGAUGCAGAAAGUGCUAUAAAAGCUGAUCCAAUAUCGCCCAAGGUAUGCAAAAUAAUCAGCAUUUAAGGUGAUGAAGUAGUUUCGUUUAUUUUAUUACUUUUAAACUCGAUAAUAUGAUGAGAUGCUCAUAUCUUCAUUCGAAAAGUGACUUAGGCAUUUAUUCGAAUUAUUUUUGCAAUGCAUGACCUUUUUAUUUUUAUCAAAUGACAUAUAUAAAAACUCAUCAAAGAUAGAAAGCAUAAAGGACUUUUGCAAGAAGAUUCUUAACAUUCCCCAAACAAACAAAUGAAUUAACUUUAAUAAAGCAAUGUGCAUAACCACCAAUAAAACAAUUCACUUGAUAAAUCAAAUAUGGAAUUCAAUCAAUAUAUUUCUGUUACAAUUAUUACGUAAAUCCUAUAGUCGUAUAGUAAGUCAGUAAUAUUUUUUUUAUGUCAAGACAGAUUGCAUAAUAAAGAUGAUAGCAAUAUUGGAACACGAUAUGACUACAAAAAAGAAACCGCAUCAAUUCAGAGUACCAACAAUUGUUCUCUUUUAUUCAAAAUAUUGAAUCAUGAACAAAUGUCAGUGGUUUUGAUAUCUCAGACUGACUUGUAUAACAAACUUAUUUGUUCUUUUCAACUGAAAUUGACCAUAUAAGAACUUUUUUUUUAUGUAAAUCUUAAAGUUUCAUAGUAAAUCAAUAAUAUUUUUUAAUGUCAUAACAGAUUGUAUAAUAAAGAUGACAGCAAUAUUGGAACAUAAUGACUACUAUGAAUACUUCUUUGAAUAAUAUACUGUUAAUAUAUUAUGAUGGUUGAUUGUACAAAUUUUCAUAUUUAUUUAACACUUUAUUAAUAUCUUUAUAUACAGUGUACAAUGUUUUGUUUAACCGUUUGGCAAAUUACAAUCUUAAAUCAUGUAAAUCCAAUGCAAACAAGGUGGAUUACGAUUAGAUUUCCAUGUUUUAAAUGCAUAGAGUUAUAUUUAGGAAGAGACUGUUAAUUAUGGGGAACGAAGCAACGAAAACCAUUAUUUUAUAUCCCAUCCUAUAAAAAUAUUUCUCCUAUCUAUGUGUUGGAUAACCUUUCUAUCCGACUAUAUGUAUAUAUCUUUACAACUGAAGUUAAUUUAUAAAUAAUAAUUUUGUAUUAAGAGGAAAACUCUUUGUGGAAGGUACUGCCUUUCAAGUUUUAAUACACCUGAAAGUGACAAUGGCUAUGAUUCUGACAGUUUAAUAUGAAAAAUGUGUAUAUGUGUUAGUUUCAAACAUUUUCUUGAACGAAAUAUUUAAUAGAUAUAUAAACAGACUUUAUCAAAUAUUAUUUGGAAACGUAUGCCUGAGAUGUAUGCAUGCAAUCGUUGUCGUAGCUUUCAUCGGAGAAUGAUUUAGCAUGGUCAGAUAUUAAUCGGAAUGUCAGUUAAAAUGUUUUAGGAUAGAAAGCCAUAAAGAAGACCGAUUUCUUUUUCGGAUUUAUUUCUAAAAAGUCAUCAUUUAUCAUUAAAACGAAUAUACUUGGUCACGUUCAGCUUAACCACGUGGUUCAAUGUUGACAGCAAAUGAAAUGAAAUUGUUAAAUUUACAUUGGAUAUAAGUGAUUACAUUUAUAUGCGAAAACAAGCGACUAAUGCAAAAGAUUUCAAAAAAUAUUUUUUUCUUUACUAAUAAUUAUAUAUCAAAAUCUAGCUAUCAAUAGUUAUCAAAGGAUCCAGUAUAAAUCAACCUACUAAUUUGUGUUGUUUAAAUUAAGGCACACGGGAGGAGAGGAAAACAGCUCUAUCUAAUGAACAAAUAUGAUAAAGCAUUUGGAGCUUUCAUACAUGGACUGGGAACAGUACAGCUUGUAUGUGAUGAGAAAUAUAUAAUUGAUCUGAUUAUUGGUGCAGUUAUUGCUUUACCAGAUAUACCAGGUAUGAAAUUUUCACAAUGAUAGAGCAAACAAAGAUGAUGUGAUCUAAGUGGCAAUCAAAAAAAGGAAGAUUUAGACGCAGCCUUCACAGGACAUUUACGUUAUGAAGCAGCUUUAGGGAAAUGAUGCAGUUAGCUUAAAUCCUUACAUUGCAAGGGACAAAGAUUUUCAAGUCUCAAUACGGAACGAUGAUUUUAUGUGCAAUUAAUAUAUAAAUUAAGUAAUCUUAGAUUCAGUUAUUUCAUUGCAAAAUUUUCAAAUUUCGAAAAGAUCAUCGACAAUUUUUUAACAGCAAUUUAUAUUGUAUGGAACGUUUACUUAUUUAGAUUGUUUUGCUUAAUUUUAGACAAUUUUUCGUUUUAACUCAUCAAAAGUGAUUCCAGAAUCAUGACAUUAGAACUGAAGAAAAUGCUAGACUUUUAAAAUGUUUUUUUCUUUAUACAACACACUGGACCAAAAGGAUAAUAUUGCAUUAAAGAAGCUACAUUCUCUCCGAGCAAUCGACAAUUAUGUUGCUGUUCAUCUUAAGAACAGAGCACUUAUAUAGAAUACUUAAAACUGAGAUCAUAAAGUCAACUUGGGACAUUAAAUCCCUAAUUCUUAUACAAUUUGGAUCAUGAUGUCCUUCAUUCGAAUGAAAAUGACAUACAAGAACAUAUUAUCUUAAAUGAUCUAUACCGUCAAUUCCACGGUUGACGUUCAAAGUUUUUGAUAAAAAGUAUAUCGAUCGUAAUCCACGAUUAUAAUUAUUACAUAUGAUUGAUUUAUUUUUAAUAUAGUAUUGCAUUAGAAUUCGAAUAGCAUAGUUAUAUUUGGAGAGUUGUCAUUGUCAGUAAAUAAUUUAAUCAAGACAAAAUAUUUGUAUGUAUGAAAAAGUGGUCAAUGAAAAUAGAGUCAGAAAAUACCCAUAAAGCCAUUACCAAUUAUAUGAAAGAUAGACACUGUCUUGUCAAAAAGAAAAUUAAUAAGAAACAGUACACAGUAAAACUGAGAUUGAUUUUUCGAUAGAGUGCACCGGAAGCUUAAUCAGUUGAACCUCCUUCAAUAACAAUUGUUGAAAAAUUAAAUAAGCUAGAUACUGUUGAAUCUUUAGUUUAUUUUUUUCAUAAUAACGGUCACGAUAGUAUCUAAAACACAUCUAAAUUGAUGUCUUAGAAAUAAAAUAACCAUAGUAAUAACAGGCCAAUUAUUUUGUACGCCAUACUCAUGCUUAGUCUACACAAAAUUACCGGUGAAACAAAAAGUUACACACCAAACAUGCUUCAUAAAAGCGUUUUCUUCUAGAGGUUAUACCUGAAGUCAAUGAUUAUUUUGUUUAUUUCAGAAGUUCAAAGAAUGAAUAGGUACAAUGCUUUGUUUCAAAUUCGGUUUGAAGAGUAUUGGCCUAAAAUACUGAACCAACUGUCCACAGAUGGUGAAUGGAAUGGAAUCAGAUAUCUUAUUUUAGGAAUGAUUCCCGAGAUUACGCUAGAUCUUGCAGGUAAAUAUAGCUGUAACUUUAUAUUAAGUGGUCUAGAGCAAUGUACACAAUGCAGUUGGUGUUGUCUCGAUCACUCAAUAGCUACGACGAAUCCCAGCGAGGGAAGAACAAAAAUUUGCUUCGCCAAUUUGCAGCUUCAAAAUCAUGCUAAUAUUAAGAGUCGUUUUAAAUACAAUGAUUGUUUUCCGUCGUGUAUCAAUUUACUGAUGAUCCACAGAAUGUAACAGCCGUAAAGUUGUCAUUUUUCUGUAUAAGACGAUUCUUUACGACAUAUAUUAAGAUAAUCUCUCAUCAAUUCCAUCCUCAUGCCUAACAUAUCAUGUACUGUGUUACAACUUUAGAUUCUACUGACCAGGAAAGUUAACACUAGGCCACCGAAGCCACCGAAAGCAUAAUUAUCUAGUUCAGACUAGGUUGUGAUCUAGAGCAAUGGACACAGUGCAGGUAGUAUUGUCUCGAUAUCUCAAUAGCAUGAGUUCGAAUCCCGGCGAGGACAGGACACAAAUUUGCUACCGCAAGAUUGCAGAUCUUUCAUUGUUGUGGUGAUUUUAGAAUAUUUAUGAUGUAUAUAAAAUGUUUAGACGUACUUAAUACUUUUUUUCUGAGACUGUAUCCUGACGAUCCUUUACAAAAGAUACUUAGCUAAUCUGUAAUCAAUCAAUCAAUCAAUCAAUCAAUCAAUCAAUCAAUCAAUCAAUCAAUUAGUUAUUACCCGUUUUUAAUUGUAUCAGAAGGGAAGUCCGAAAUUAUUAUUUUAUUACCGUUAUGAAGAUGGUGAUGUGGCUAAUGCCUUAUAAGUUGGGGACCUUUGCAACCGAAAAUCAAGUAAAACAAUACGAUUAAAGACAAUAUAACACUACAUAGAUAUGAUCAAUUAGUACAAAUUUUGUCAUAUAUUGGUUACACUACUCUUAAUGGAUUAUGUUGUUGAUUAUUUACCGCCUUUAGCUAAAAUGAAAAAGAAAGCUUAAAUUUUCUUUCCAUAUAGUAAAUCGUUAAUCCAUAUUAUAACUAAAACUCUAAAUAAGUCUAUAAAUACUUAUGCUACAUCAAUCUAAAAAAAAUGUUGCUGAACAAAUGUCCCACCUUUAUGACAAAUAUGUUGUUUGCCCCGCAAGAAAGUUUGCAAUAACGACUUUUUGUUUGUUAAUCAUGCAUAGUAAAUUUGGGGCCCUUUAUAGCUUGUUGUUCGGUGUGAGCCAAAGCUCCGUGUUGAAGACCGUACUUUAACCUAUAAUGGUUUAUUUUUAAUUGUUAUUUGUAUGGAGAGUUGUCUCAUUGGCACUCACACCACAUCUUCCUAUAUCUAAUUAAAUAUGAUUGAUCUUUUGGAAAAAAAUCAAAUUACAAAAAUACUCAACUCCGACUCGGAAAAUUCAUAACGAAAAGUCCAAUAUCAAAGGGCAAAAUCAAAAGUUCAAUAACAUCAAACCAAUGGAUUCAACUGUCAUAUUCCUGACUUGGUUCAGGCAUUUGAUUAUGCAGAAAAUGGUGGAUUAAACCGUUUUAUAGCUAGCUAAGCCUCUCACUUGUAUGACCGUCGCAUUAAAUUCCAUUGUAUUGCCAACGAUGUGUGAACAAAACAAACAGACAUAAUAGGUAAAAUGUCACAAAUAGGGGUACAAAAAAAUAUACGAUAUGCAUGUAUCAGCACAGAAUUUACCAAAGAGAAAAUCUGAAACAUCAAUUAAAAAUGGCCUUUCCACCCUUAACCGAUUUCUCUGACGUCAGUCUAUUGUUCUAACAGUGGAUUAUUUUUCAAGAAUCCACUGACCUCUAAGUUAACUUAAGAUAUCUUAUAACAUAACUUUUAACUUAAGAUAUUUUAUCCUCUCAAAAACGAGUGACAAAUGAAAGGUUCGAACUCGCGCGUAUUUUCGUCAGUUUAGUCUGUAGCCUAUACAUGCUACCACUAGACCACGAGUGCUGAUAUAGAAUUAAAUUUAAAAAACACCCUUAUAGCGUAUAUCUGUCAAUAGAUGUCAAUAAGCUGUAUUUUUGUCGUUUUGUUGUCGUAUAAAACAUAUAAACACUAUAGAACCAAGGACUUGCAAUUAUUACUUAUUAGGACAAUUCCUUGAUAAAAUAAACAUCCAUGUACACAUUACACUUAUAGCUUUUAACGUACAAGGCCUUUCCCUUUUCAUUAUAGCAAAUACUAACUUGUGGUUUUAGUAUUAUAAUGAUAUCAUACCAUCACUAAGUUUUUCUUUGUUUGAUUAUAGAUGGUCCAAAUAUAUAUAUAUAUCAAUAUUUGUGUGAAUAAAGUGUAAUAAGCAACGACUGUAAAACUGCUUCUUUGUCUGUAAAACUAGAAACAAAAUCGUCAACUUUAUAUGAAAAGUGAAAUAUAAAUACCUCUAAGAUUAAAAAAAUGUUUUGGUAGAGAAAAACAUUACAAUAAAAAAAAAAGCGUUCCGGGUACUAGGCUUGAACUUGGGACUGUUAUUAUCACAAUCACAAUUAUUUCUGUGCCAACGACUAGACGAUCACGGCUAUGAACAGCUCACAUGUUUCACUUCAAAAUUGAGAUAAUUAUAUAUUGUGCAUUUGUAGCAAGAGCAAUUUUGCUUGGGUUUCUGCAAAUAAUGCUAGUUUAUUGACUGAUGAUGGAUGCCAAAUGUAAUAACGUUAAACUAAUCUUAACACUAUGAAAGGGAACCAGUUCAAUAAAGACCAUUCGUUGCAUGUUUUCAUCAUAACAGGAGUAUUGUGUAGACGUAGUUAUACUUCAUUUAGAACUGUUACGCGUUCAGUCGUUUAUGUACGUAUUACAGGUACAUUGAAGAUCUAACGACUUUGACUUGCAAAUGCAGUUGCUAAAUACUAAAUAAGUAAAUAUUAAACGUUUCUUAAUGUUGGUUAUUAAUUUUUUUAACUUUCCAGAAAAUAUUUUUAAAAAUCCGUAUAUUGAUUAUAUGGCUUUAUGAAUAAAUUAUAAAUACUAAAAUCUAAUCAAUGUAAAUAAUUUGAUAUGAUUAAACAUCGAAUGAAAGAAUUAUUUACAAAUAUAAAAUCUGGUAUUAAAAAGGGGAGAUUACAACACAUUUAAGUUAAAUUGAACUUAUAUUAAGUUAAAUAUAAAUGUGAACCGUGUGGAUCUAAUCAUUUCCAGCUAUUAGAGAAUAAAAAAGACAAAAUACAACAUUAUUUACAUAAAAUUCUGUUGAUUCAUUGUUAGAUUAUACAACAGAUAGUCGUUUUACUAGAAAUGGGUUAAGCUAGAGAAUUGAUAAGAAGUAGUGGACUAAAGUCGCUCGUUGAUUAUCGUUUACGAAUCCACUACUUCUUUUCAAUUCUCUACUACAUAAAGAUCAAUUUUGAUUUAAAACUAUGAAAAUUCAGUUUGAAAUACUAAAUUCAGCGUCAAAUUAAAGCCUAUGGUACGCUGAUUCCAAAAAUAUAUGGUUUCUAUACAUUUUUUUCUAAAAAAAAGGGAGAUAAAUUGUAACUUCCGGUUUGAAAUAUGUCACUUUCGGUUUUAUUUGAUAGUUAACUUGAUACUGAUUCCAAAAUGUAUGGGUCAAUAUACUUUUACAUUAAAUAAUAACAAAACAUAGCUACUUCCGGUUAACACACGUCACCUCCGGCUGGCUUUUCCAUGGUCAGGUGUCUUGCAACGUAAUGGAAAAAGUUCCAUGGCUUUAUAUUGUAAACAUAUGAGGUAAAAGCAAAGGUCAAUAUCUAGGACCUCAAUUUAACCUAUGACCUUGAAAUUGAACUCAAGAUCAUAGGUUAAAUUGAGGUCCUUAAUUUUUACUUUUACCUGAUACGUUUACAUAAAAAAGCCAUGGGAUUUUUUCUAUUACGUUGCAAGACACCUGACCAUUGAAAAUUCAACCGGAAGUGCAAAGUCAUAAACCAAGGGGUUCAAAUCAAAAGAUUAUAGGUCUUAAUUAUAUAUGGUUAUUGAGUUUUAUCACUAUAUGCCUUAUACAAGAGGGAAGAAGACUCAAAUCUAAUGUUAGUGUACACUUUCAACCAAAAUCCAUGUGUUACGACGUGUCGCAACUUACAAUUUAGUAAAAAUAUGUUGUCGGUAUCUGAUACGGUUUUUGAAAAGAAUUAAAAAAUAAGCCAAAAUCAAAAUAAAAAAUAUGUCCUUGACCUCUGACCUUGACCUUUUCCUAUUUUUGGAUCAGGAACAUCAAAUCAAAAGAUCCUAGGUCUCGAUCACUAAUGGUUUACAAGAUAGAAAUGUAUAUGACUAAUAUCACAUGCAUAAGGGGAAAUAAAUCUCAUUUGGAGUGUUCAUAUCGCCUAGGUCAAAAUAGAACAAAUCAUGCAACGGAAAUAACGUGCAAUUUUAUAAAAUAAAUGUGUCGCUUUCUUUUACGGUUACAAAAGAGAUGCGGUCACAAGGAAAACAGUGUUCCGGAAGAUAACUCUUACAAAAAAUUGUUUGUCUCAGUAGGGUUUAAUUUAAACUACAUUGUAUGUAAACUAUACGAUACAAUAUGAGUAUCUAAGCGACAUAUUGCGAAAGAAAUAUUUAUCGCAAGAACAAAACAAGGCGGAAGAAAAAAAAAGAUAAUCAGAACAAAUACAAUAGGUCUUUCCACAGAAAAGUGGAAAGGCCCAAUAAAACUGUCAUAUGUCUGUCAUAUGUUUAUACAAGUAAUAUACAUAGAGAUUGGCAACUAAAGUCCAACAAAUGAAACCAAUGCAGAUACAAAACUCUUGUUUUAGGAGUCGAUAAAUUAUACUUUGUAAAUAGCCUCUCUGAAUCAAUGAAACACUAAUUUGGAGCUGAAAUUUGUAAUUUUUGUAUUGACAGCAUACUUGCUACCUGAAGCCGAGACUAUCGACAUUCUAAAUAAAUGCAACUAUUAUCAUUUCCGCCUGACUCGUUUUAAAAUUCGUUUAAAGAAGGCAAAACGAUUUUUUUCGGAAAGAGUGAACAUAAUAGUGCAUUAUCCUUUAACUUUACGCUUUGCUUCAAAGAUUACGUCUGAGUAAUUCGAAGUUGGUUUACUUUUGGAAACUUUUAAUUUCCAAAUCUUGAUAGUAUAUUAGAGAGAUAGUCCUUCCUGUCUUGAAGUAUAAUUUUAUGUAUGUUUAUUAAUACGAGAUGGCUUUUAAUCAGGUUUCAGUAAAUCUGAAUACUUGAUUUAGAUCGACACUUUGUGUGUUUUGCAAUCUUUAUAUCUGUAGUGUUCCUAAAGGUAAUAAGGACUUGCAAGAUAUAUGUACUGCCUGAAAAUGACGACAUUAAUUCAUCAAAAAAUGAUAUAAAAGAGUUGUUAGAUGUUUAUUAUUCGUGUUUUAGGCCAUGGAGUAGCAAGUUCCUGGGACAUCAGUAAGAUAGACCUGAGUACUGUAUUCAAAUAUAUAGAGGAAGCUGAACCUGACAAAUCAGUAACGAAUUGGUUAACCCCUACAUUAACCGUUCUCUUAUUCAAAAAUAAAAAACAAUUUCUGAACUUUAAGCAAGAUGCCAAUGCCACAUGUGUUCAUUUUGCUGUAAAAUAUGUGCUCAUAACAGGUGAGAAGUACUAAAUAUAGAUAUAUUUUUUACAUUAGUUCAGUGAUAGUUUGUUACUCGUGACUAUCCUUUUGUUUCUUCUAAAAGUAAACAAAUUUUCAGGGUUUUUCCAAUCUGCCUGCAAACAUUAUCUCACAUAUGGUACACUGAUGUAAAAUGAUGACAAAUGAUUAGGAUUUGCUUCCGUAGGAGGCAACAGACUUCCGCAGAGUUACAACAUUUCAUUUUCAACUAAAAAAAUAUUUUAUUUAUCCGAAUUCCACUGUUAUAUGUAAGUUAUAUGGCAAAAUCAAAAGCAGAAACUCAUCAAAAGAAUAGAUAAUAAAUGUCAAAUUACUGACUUGGUACAGGCAUUUACUUAAUAUGUAGAAAAUGGUUGAUUGGACCUGGUUUUAUAGCUAGCUAAACCUCUCGCGUGUAUGCCAGUCGCAUGAACAAAACAAACAGACGUAACAGGUAAAAAUGUCAAAAAUAGGGUAACAACAGUCAAAAUAAUCUUUAUCACUAAAAAACCCACACAAAUAUGCAACAAAGAAGCACAAAAUGGCAUAUAGACCAAGCAUAUUAGCAAAAAUUAAAGACAAGAAUACACAAAUUUACCAUAGUACAAUAACACAAUGAAUGGGAUGUAUAACUACUGGCCAACGUCAUAUAUGUAACGAAGAAACAUUAAAAGGCAGAUAGACAAAGCAUAUAGCAAACACAAAAGACAAGAAAACAAACAUGUUUUACAAUAGCACAUUAACGGAAUGUGCUAAUAAAUUCAUUCCUGUCUGUUACAAACUUUAACACAUUGUACACUUAAUUAUUCUUGAAGUUUUGAAUUCACUAUCAAUAUUACUUUUGGUUAUUUGUAAAGUGGAAUUGCUGUUAAUUUGACGAAUUACCAAAUUACCAUAUUAUUGAAGUUUAGAAAUAUAAGUUAGCUUUAAAGAAAAUUACAAAAAAAGUUUUAUCAUGUUUCACAAUAUAGAUGAUGUGCAAUUAUUUUGAAACUAAGAUCGCACGUAUCUUAGUUAGAGGUUACUUUUUAGGAUUCGUGUUUGCUCUCAUAAACGCAUAAUUUUGUCAAACUCUGCAAAGAUCUGCAUUUUAAGCUUUUAAUCUUGGCUACGAGCGUGGAUGACGAAGAUAGUUAGUGCCCAAAUAUGUCAGAAUAACGAACAACUUCAUUAAAUUGAAUUAUGAAUAGUUAUAGGAAGAUGUGGUAUGAAUGUUAAUGAGACAACUCUCCAUCGAAGUCACCGUUUAUAAAACUAAACCCUUAUAGGUCAAGGUACGGUAUUCAACACGGAGCCUUGGCUCACACCGAAUAGUAAACUAUAAAGGGCCCCCAAAAAUAUGACUUAAAACAUUCAAACAUGAAAAACAACGGUCUAAUCUAUACAAAUAACGAGAAACGAGAAACACUUAUGAACAACAUCAACAAACGACAACUACUGAACCUCAUAUUCCUGAUUUAGGAAAGGUACAAACAAUUGCAGCGGGUAACCCAGGGUACCAAACCUUCACCAUUAUCUGUAAAAAUAGUGUAACAUUACAACAUAGAAGUAAGUUAAGAAUUAAGAAGAUGCAUACAUACAUUUAAUACUUUUUAUAAAACUACAGUUUUAUUGAUUGUUUUAUAAAAAACUUUUGUAUAAUCACUAUGUAACAAAGUUAAAGCUGAUUAUAAUUUUGGAAACGAUGUAAAGGAGUGUUCAAUUGGCAUUCGUUAAAAGUAAUAUGUUUUUCUGAUGAUGUAAACUCAAAAUAAAUAAAUAGUAUACUCAUGCUGGUACAGUAACGAUUAUUAUUAGUUGUGAACUUAGGCCGUGUUCGCAUUGACCUAAACACGGUGUUGUGUUAGUGUAACUCACAUAUAAACUAAACACAAUUACGUUUCCAUUGAUAAAACUCAAUGUUUACAUGUAGUUUUGUCUACAUGCAGUCGAUAGUCAAUGUAGGCCUUGUGUAUGUUUAGUGUACAAAAAACUAGGCAUUUAGAACAUUAAUUUGCCCAUGCAUUUUUAAAGAAGAAACGAUUUUUAAAUAAAAUUGAUACUAUUAACAAUUAUUAAUUAAGUUCUUUACAGAAAUAUUUGAAUAAACUUGAUAUAUUUAUUUGUUAUAAAAAUCACUUUUCGUAGCUUUAUAAAACCCUUAUCAAGACUCAAACAUCAUCGUUGGCGAACACAUAAUUCAUUUGAAAAGGUCUUCCCGAAAUCGACUGGACGUACACAGAAAUAUUUGCCACUGGUCUUUACUCAAACAACGAUUCACUCAUAAAUGCAUUACUGAAAAAGCGUGAGGUUAAUUGUAAUGUUUGUCUAGUACCACUGAUCCGUUAAAAUACACUUAAAAAAAAACAUUACCCCCUCCCUUUGCUAAAUACUCUCUGGAGAGAAAAAAUACCAUUUGUAACAAACAGAAAAGAUAAAAAUGUAGUGAUCCUUAACAUCGCAAUCCUUUUUCUUCGUCUGUAAGCACGCUGAUGCAGCCUACGUUAUUUAAUGAGUAAUCGAGAUAUCUUUUGUAUCUUUAAACAACUGUAAAUCAUUUAAAUGGCUUUCAUAAAGUAGCAACCACUUAACAUAAAAAUGGGGGAUCUUUCGCGCAAAACAACGGUUUUUUCAGUUUUUUUCGAUGAUACCAAUCAAAUGAUUUUUUUUUAAUAUUUAACACUAUAAUGUAUGGGGAAACUUUGGAUUCAGAAUAUUUUUUAUUUUAAUCAUCGGUAUGAACCGAUUUUUUUUUAUCAAAUUGUGGAGCAGAAUAUUUUUCACGGAUAAAUCCAUCCCCCCUUUUUUUGAAGUCAAAUGGUCGUGCCUUAACUGCAAGAAAAGUUGUCCGAAAAUUUGAAUUCGGUUUUACGUAAUGAAAAUUUAAAUGACAUAUAGUUUACAAGUGUGAACAAGUCUUAUGUACAGGUAAUUAAACAAGGUAUAUAGAUGUGAACAAAUUUAAUGUGAAACUAGUGUACAUUACAUUAAACUAAUUGUAAACAUGUUUACUGUACACGGCCUUAUUUUGAUUGCUUGAUUUCAUUCAUUCGUAAUUAUCUUUAAAUUUCCGGAUAUUUAUGUAAUCCACAUUAUUAAUUCAGGUGAUGUGCGUUUGUUAGAACAGAUGCCUAUCCAGGGAACUCAAUACUUAAAUGAGUUUUUAAAUGAUUACCAGGAGUCGCCUUACCAUGUCAUAACCAAGAAUAACUAUACACAAGAUUGUCAGUUGAUGAGGAAAGUCGUAACAUUUGAUUGAGAAAAACUUCACAGCUAGUUUUAGAGAUAAGGAAGACCGUUUACCAAUGGAUUACAUCAAAAAAGAACAGUUCGAUGUGCUACACGAUGUAUUAUUUAAAAUAGCUUCGA
rnacentral:sRNA from 1 species